UGACAGGUGUUUCCGACUCUGUGGUUUCCCAUCAACCUGCAGAAAGGAGAAUCACAGCCUUUUAAAAUGUAAACUGCAUCACAAAGCAGCAAGAAAACUUCGCACUCUCAAUGAGUUCCUGAUGUUAACCAAGCCAGGUGCCAGGUGGAGAAGUGACAUACCUCAAGGAGGGAGGAGUAUAUCAGGAGCAUGGAGCCCGGUGAAUUAGCUAUAUGCCUGAUGGCCUACAAAGAGCGAGGACAACAGAGGAGGGAGUGACUGAGGCUCCUGGCUGUGCAGAGGAAGGAG